ensembl:snRNA U6 U6 spliceosomal RNA
GUGCUUGCUUUGGCAGCACAUAUGCUCAAAUUGGAAUGAUACAGAGAUUAACAUGGCCCCUGGGCAAGGAUGACACGCAAAUUCAUGAAGCCUUCCAUAUUUUU